UACGUAGGGGGCAAGCGUUGUCCGGAAUCAUUGGCGUAAAGCGCGCGUAGGCGGCCCGGUAAGUCCGCUGUGAAAGUCAAAGGCUCAACCUUUGAAUGUCAGCGGAUACUGCCGGGCUAGAGUCCGGAAGAGGCGAGUGGAACUCCUGGUGUAGCGGUGGAAUGCGCAGAUAUCAGGAAGAACACCAACGGCGAAGGCAGCUCGCUGGGACGGAACUGACGCUAAGGCGCGAAAAGCGUGGGGAGCGAACAGG
rnacentral:rRNA from 1 species